UACGUAGGUGGCGAGCGUUGUCCGGAUUUAUUGGGCGUAAAGCGCGCGCAGGCGGUUGUCUAAGUCUGCUGUGAAAUCUCCCGGCUCAACUGGGAGGGUGCGCCGAAUACUGAGAGGCUAGAGUGUGGGAGAGGAAAGUGGAAUUCCUGGUGUAGCGGUGAAAUGCGUAGAUAUCAGGAGGAACACCGGUGGUGUAAACGGCUUUCUGGACCAUAACUGACGCUGAGGCACGAAAGCGUGGGGAGCAAACAGG
rnacentral:rRNA from 1 species